AUCACUUGUCCUUUUGGCUAAGGUGAAGUGUGCUAUCUGUUCUUAUCAGUGUAAUAUCACACACAUCCUCUAUCUGAGGACAGGAUAGUAAAAACAGAUGUUUGGAGCUGGGAGACAGAAUGAAGAGUUUACACUGUCCAUCCACUGAUGCAGCAAUCUGCUAUUGUGGCACCUCCAGCAAUGGGGCACCCCAC